AUUGAACGCUGGCGGCAGGCCUAACACAUGCAAGUCGAGCGAGCGGCGGACGGGUGAGUAAUGUCUGGGAAACUGCCUGAUGGAGGGGGAUAACUGCUGGAAACGGUAGCUAAUACCGCAUACCAUCAGAUGUGCCCAGCUGGGAUUAGCUAGUAGGUGGGGUAACGGCUCACCUAGGCGACGAUCCCUCGCUGGUCUGAGAGGUGGACCAGCCAACCUGGAACUAGGACACGGUCCAGCCUCCUACGGGAGGCAGAAGUGGGGAAUAUUGCACAAGGGGCGCAAGCCGGAUGCAGCCAUGCCGGGUGGGUGAAGAAGGCCUUCGGGUUGUAAAGCACGUUCAGCGGGGAGGCGGUACCCGCAGAAGAAGCACCGGCUAACUCCGUGCCAGCAGCCGCGGUAAUUC
rnacentral:rRNA from 1 species